rnacentral:rRNA from 1 species
UACGAAGGUGGCAAGCGUUGUUCGGAUUUACUGGGCGUAAAGGGAGCGUAGGUGGUUAGGUAAGCCCUCCGGGAAAUCUUCAGGCUUAACCUGAAAAGGUCGGGGGGGACUGCCUAGCUAGAGGGUGGGAGAGGAGCGCGGAAUUCCCGGUGUAGCGGUGAAAUGCGUAGAGAUCGGGAGGAACAUCAGUGGCGAAGGCGGCCAUCUGGGACAGCACUGACGCUGAGGCACGAAAGCGUGGGGAGCAAACAGG